UUUUGUUGGAGAGUUUGAUCCUGGCUCAGGACGAACGCUGGCGGCGUGCUUAACACAUGCAAGUCGAGCGGAAAGGCCCUUCGGGGUACUCGAGCGGCGAACGGGUGAGUAACACGUGA
rnacentral:rRNA from 1 species